rnacentral:rRNA from 1 species
AUACGGAGGAUCCGAGCGUUAUCCGGAUUUAUUGGGUUUAAAGGGUGCGCAGGCGGGAGAUUAAGUCGGCGGUGAAAUUUUGCAGCUCAACUGUAAAAGUGCCUUCGAAACUGGUUUCCUUGAGUGUAGAUGAAGUAGGCGGAAUUUGUGGUGUAGCGGUGAAAUGCAUAGAUAUCACGAGGAACUCCGAUUGCGCAGGCAGCUUACUAAACUACUACUGACGCUCAGGCACGAAGGCGUGGGGAUCAAACAGGAUUAGAUACCCUGGUAGUCCACGCAGUAAACGAUGAUUACUAGCUGUUUGCGAUACAAUGUAAGCGGCUGAGCGAAAGCGUUAAGUAAUCCACCUGGGGAGUACGUUCGCAAGAAUGAAACUCAAAGGAAUUGACGGGG